CUCACCUCCCUCGCCUCUCUCCAAGGAUCUCCCGGCCAUUGCCGCACCUAACCAGAGCCGGCGCCUAACUAACUCACCUCUCCCUGAAAGUGUGGCCGGAGCUGGCGCAGGCCUACCGUAGAUCCGGCGGCCUUGAGCUCCACCGUCACCAACAGCGGCGACUACCGUAUGGAGGCCAGACGGGAUCUGGUGGCCUCAGAAUGGUGAGAACCAGCAGCAGUGUUCGGCCAUCAGAUCAGGUGGAAGCUCAUCUUGGGGCGGCAGCAGAGAUAGCCACGCUGAUUCGGUUUUGCAGCUCACACGGGAGCCGACCUCGAGUUUGACUAGAGCCAGAGGUGUUGGACUGUGCAAGGUCCGCACCCCUGCAUCAACAACCUGGACAUCUGUCUCCGGCGUCAUGGACGAGCUGCAGCCGGACGACCAGAAUCUUGUCUUCCUCUAUAAUGAGCUAGAUGAUGUCAAAUGACUGCCAAUGGUGGCCUCAUCGGUGGUGCCAUCUUGCGAGAGGGAAGCAACAUUGGAGGCAGUCCGAACCGUGAGAAUGAUCACGAUGCUAAUGAGAACAUGGAUGAUAUCUACGGCACGAGGAGAUGAUACAUAUAGCGAUAAACUUUUUGACCCAUAUAGUGAUGAGCAUUAUGAUCACUAUAGAGAUGAUGGUGACGAGUCGAAUGAGCUGCAUAGUCGUUCAACAAAGUGAAGUUCCGAAAUUUAUGACAAUUUAGGUUAUGCAAACUGUUCGGACCAUUGUAUGGAGUAUUUUGUUUGGCAUUAUGAUCUAUGUAUUCUGGAUGAAAGACA